AGUCUGGUGGUAGAAUGGCUAUACAGCGGUCUGCAAAACCGUAUAUCUGAAAAGAUGAUGCGAGUUCGAAUCUCGUCCAGACUUA
rnacentral:tRNA from 2 species